AGUUGUUGGCAGGUAGCUAGACA
rnacentral:siRNA from 1 species